AGAGAGAGUGCAAGUGCAAAAAUAGAGCUUUAAGAAUUAAGGAACUAAAAAAGAGGGAAAGAGGUGCUGGGAAACAAUUACAAAGUGAAGAAUUUCACACGAAAGGGUUCAGGGAUUAGGAACUACAAAGAGCCUAUAUACUUAGGCAUUAGUUAAUUCUACGCAUGCACAACAAUAGAGAGUGUUGUUAUACUUACAAAGUCAAUCAGAAUACACAACAUGUAAUGGUAACAUAGAGGUUAUGGUCCUAGGGGAAUCAAGUUUGAGUCAUAGACAAAAAUACUUAAUACUUUCAUGCCUCAAACAAGCCUUCAGUAUCAAACACAUUGGGAUAGAGGUUUAGGAUGCAUAAUAGAUUCAGAAUUACAACAUGCUUAGAAUGAAGUACUGAAUUAAACAGAAGCAGUAGAUAGACAAGAAAACUAAAGUAUUAAGUAAACAUAUUAUUGUGAUGCUGAAAUCUUAAUCAGGAUAAGUUAGAACAAGCAAAAAUACAGUAAAAGCAUAUAGCAGGACUUUGAAGAAAGGCCACAGUACAAGUACCAAGAGAGAAAAAUUUUGACUAUGAGUGUGAGUACAGAAACUAAGAGUGUUUGUGUGUGCAUUGAUGAAAGAGCAAGAUAUUUAUAGUUUGAAAACAGUUAGAAAAUAAGGCAAAAAUCUUAGUUCAGCAGCAAUUAUGGAACUAUGUACUAAUUAAAAAUCAAAUCAAUAUUAAGGACUUCCGUUAAUUAAGGAGUUAAAAUUAUCAAUAAUGGUAGAAAACAUUUAAGGAAAGAAAUCAUGUCGAGAAUUAUGUGUAGAAUAGGUAGUUAGGGGUAAGUACAUAGGGGUUUAAUUAAGGGAAGAAUCUUUGAAAUACUCGGUUAACCAAAUAAGGUAAGAAACACAAUAAGUUUGCAGAAUUUGGAGACAAUCAGCACAUAGUAAAUCAAGGAGUAAGAGAUUUAAAAUUACUGACUUGGGUAGAAUGACAGGGGUUUCCAUGAAUAAACAAAUAAACCAAGUUAAAAACAAGAUAAUCAAAAGUCUAAAGGUAAGUGUUCAAAUUGAUCCAAGAGACAGAGAAAUUAGUAAAUCAAGAAAAGAAUCAAUUACACGAGUGCAAUCAGAAUUAUACAAGGAGGUUUGAAAUUAGUCCCACAUUUGAAGGUCAUUUUGGAGGGAAAUUCAGCAUAUAAAAAAGUGCAUAAUUAUUUAGGCAUGCGAGGUUAAACUAUGGCAAAGAUAAUAAUCACAAAGUCAGUAGAUAGUGAACUAUUGAAAUAUGACAGUCACAUAGGUCAAUUUUACCAACUUAGUAAUAGACAAAGGAGAGAGUAUCAGAAGCUUGCAAAAGGUCAAGUAAAAAGACCUUUCUGAAAAAUAUAGUCUAGUUUCAAAGAUUGCAGGAAACCAAAUUACAUAGAGAAACAAAGGUUGAAACAAAAAGGUGAUUCAAAUCCAGUCGAGCAACUUCAAACUGGCGAAACAACUUCAGAAGCUUGAAUAAGCCCCAAAUAAAUUAGGCUUUUGAACCCAAUCAAAUUUAAGGAUGAUGAACAAGUAAAUUACACAUCAAAUAUUCUCAUAACUGAAACGAACCCAAUGUUUUAAGAUGUUUUAACAUAGAUCGAUUUUAAAGAUAAAUCACAAAUAAUCAGACAAAUACUAACAAAAUAUAUUCAGAAAUCUCAAACAAAAAAGUCAAGGACCUUAACAUGCAAACUCAAGUAGAAUCACAACAUAAGGAAACAUUGUAGAACAUUUUGAGAACCAAAGAAAGCUUCGAAAUAACUUAAUAGAAACCAAAAUCGGAAAAGAUAAUGGCGUUUCGAAGGUAGAGUUUGAAAGAAAACCUUGAGAAAAUGUUUAGAAGUUUAGAGGAAACAUAAAUCUAAAACAGAUCUAAAGGAAAUCAGAAGAACCUCAGAGGUUAGAGUUUCAGAAGAACCCAGAUGGUGAGAAAGGCUUGGACAAUCAUCAAUCUAAGUAGGAGAAGUCAAGAAUGAGACUGGAAUAGUCAUGACUGGCCGGAGCAAGGCAAAGAUGACCAGAGACAGCCAUUGAACUAAAAUCAACCAAGGCCUGGACCAAACUUUUUCAAGAUUCAGCCUUGAAGUCAUGAUGAUUGAGCAUAUAAAAUCCAAAUGAGGUAAGAUACAAGCCUCCAAUGGCUUUGGAAGCCAUUGAUUUGGGUGAUUUUAUGUGGUGGUUGAAGGCGGCGACUAGGUUUUGAGAGAGAGUUUGAGAGAGAAUUGGGAUUUAGAG
rnacentral:lncRNA from 1 species